rnacentral:rRNA from 1 species
GAUGAACGCUGGCGGCGUGCUUAAUACAUGCAAGUCGAACGGAGACAGUAGCAAUAUUGUCUUAGUGGCGAACGGGUGGGUAACGCGUUGGUGACCUGCCCCGAAGAGGGGGAUAACAGUCCGAAAGGAUUGCUAAUACCCCAUGUGGUCGUUUGGAUUAGAUGCCUUAUGACUCAACGGAUUUGUUCGCUUCGGGAGGGGCCUGCGUCCCAUCAGCUAGUUGGUAAGGUAAUGGCUUACCAAGGCGAUGACGGGUAGGGGACCUGAGAGGGUGGCCCCCCACAAUGGAACUGAAACACGGUCCAUACGCCUACGGGUGGCAGCAGUAGGGAAUAUUGGUAAUGUGCGAAAGCGCGAACCAGCAACGCCGCGUGCGCGAUGAAGGCCUUCGGGUUGUAAAGCGCUUUUUAUGGGGAUGAGGAAGGACAGUACUCAUAGAAUAAGCCUCGGCUAACUACGUGCCAGCCGCCGCGGUAAAAC